rnacentral:rRNA from 1 species
AGAGUUUGAUCAUGGCUCAGGAUGAACGCUAGCUACAGGCUUAACACAUGCAAGUCGAGGGGCAGCAUCAUCAAAGCUUGCUUUGAUGGAUGGCGACCGGCGCACGGGUGAGUAACACGUAUCCAACCUGCCGACAACACUGGGAUAGCCUUUCGAAAGAAAGAUUAAUACCGGAUGGUAUAGUUUUCCCGCAUGGGAUGAUUAUUAAAGAAUUUCGGUUGUCGAUGGGGAUGCGUUCCAUUAGGCAGUUGGCGGGGUAACGGCCCACCAAACCUACGAUGGAUAGGGGUUCUGAGAGGAAGGUCCCCCACAUUGGAACUGAGACACGGUCCAAACUCCUACGGGAGGCAGCAGUGAGGAAUAUUGGUCAAUGGACGAGAGUCUGAACCAGCCAAGUAGCGUGAAGGAUGACUGCCCUAUGGGUUGUAAACUUCUUUUAUACGGGAAUAAAGUGAGCCACGUGUGGCUUUUUGUAUGUACCGUAUGAAUAAGGAUCGGCUAACUCCGUGCCAGCAGCCGCGGUAAUACGGAGGAUCCGAGCGUUAUCCGGAUUUAUUGGGUUUAAAGGGAGCGUA